AAUAUAGUUACCCACUAUUUCUUAAUACUACUUACUUGUACUUAGUUUGGCAUUAAUUGUUUGAGCUUUACGAUACUUAGUCAAAAUGGUUCAAUUUUUUUCUGUAUGUACGAGUAUAUAUUUUUGCGUUAUGCUGGGGACUUUUCAUCUGGAAAAUGUGGAUGCUCAGAGGUGCCGUAUUCCUAAUCAAAUAUGGACUAGUUGCGGAAGUGCUUGUCCGCCAUCUUGUGAUUCCAAACCUGAUCAAGUAUGCACUAAGCAAUGUGUGAAAGGCUGCCAAUGUAGACAAGGGCUCCUCUUA